rnacentral:pre_miRNA from 1 species
UUAACUCAAAUUUGAAUGGAUUUGGAACGUUUGCCUAAGUCUACCGCUACGAGCACUGUUCCAACUGCACACAAAUUAGAGUUA